rnacentral:rRNA from 1 species
UACGGAGGGUGCAAGCGUUAAUCGGAAUUACUGGGCGUAAAGCGCACGCAGGUGGCUGAGUCAGUCGAUUGUGAAAGCCCUGGGCUUAACCUGGGAAUUGCAGUCGAUACUACUCGGCUCGAGUAUGGGAGAGGGCAGUGGAAUUCCCGGUGUAGCGGUGAAAUGAGUAGAUAUCGGGAGGAACAUCAGUGGCGAAGGCGGCUGCCUGGCCCAAUACUGACACUCAGGUGCGACAGCGUGGGGAGCAAACGGG